rnacentral:rRNA from 1 species
CGAUGGUUACCUCCUCCUAAUGGCGCCGUGAAAAUUAAUGUUGAUGGUGCUAUCGCAAGAUCGCAUAAUGGAGGAGCUAUUGCGGCAAUAUGUAGAGACCAAACGGGCCUAUAUUUGGGAUCUUCGGACGUGGUCUUCCAAGGAAUCAAUGAUCCUCUAAUCCUGGAGACUUAUGCUUGCUGUGAAGCUUUAGCACUUGCAGAUGAUCUUGCCGGGCAAAAUAUUUGUUGGCCUCGGACUGUCAAGAAGCGGUGA